UUCUGCCUUCUACAGCCAAAGAGAAACGUGCAUUCAGACUUUUAUGGUCGUUUUAAGGCUAGGACAAAUCAAGGCCAUUAGUAGGUGGCUCUCCUUCCUCACCCAAAGUGGUAGUUCAUGCCUGCAGUCAAAGAUCUGACCGAGUACCUGAACUUUGGCCUUCCUCUUCACUGCAGCUCUGGAGUGGUCCUCUCACUUCAUCUUAGGUUUUCCUUUACCUCUGAAGUUUCUACCCUGGCCUGGAUUUCUCUCCCCCUGGAUGGCUCCCACUUCCAACAGCCCUUUCUUGGACCCCCAGCCACAGGUGCUUCUCUCCUCCUUUCCGAGGCCCUGGCUUUUUCUACCCCUGCCUCCUGAGCCCUUCUGCCUAUGCUGUCCUACUCUAAGCCCUGAGCAGCUCAGCCAAGGGCUGCCAGAGAUGCUUCUGCCUGUUCGGAACAUUAAGCUAGCUUAGCAAAUCACUGACUGCUAGAGGCUUCAUCACUCCCCCGCUCCUGAAAUCCCUUGGCACAUUACAAUAUUGACUAUUAUUAUUAAUAAUACAGCAGAUUUACAAGGAAGAAAACAAAAUAAAACACUGAAAAUAAAACUCUAAACAGCAAUUAAAUUGAGGUAAUGUUUCCUGAACUUCUUAUGAGAGGAUUUAAUAGAUUCUCUGUAUUCACUCAAUAUUGUUAUAUUUGUUUAAAACAUUUCUAAAAGCCAAACUUUAGCAAAACACAAACUGUGAGGUCAGUUUAAUUUUUCACUGCUAUUUCCCCAUCACCAUUUCCCCCUUUGGAGAAGCCGCUGCCAGUCUGUGUAGACAAUACUGAGCUAGAUAGACCAAUGGUCUGACUCAAUAUAUGGCAGCUUCCUAUGUAUCACUGAUUCUAUAUUUAGACCAUAUUCUGCCAUUUUUAACUCUGCCUAUCAUUGAUCUAAUGCCCUGUUAUCCUCAGAAGUCUUGCCCAAGCAUGGAUUUUUAAAGCUUUUUCAUAUAUUAAUCAAACACUUUUCCUGAGUUACCCCAAUCUGUUCCUGAUGUUUUAGCAUAUCAGUUGUCGAUUUCUACCUACUGAUAAGUUGCAUUAUGGUCUUCAAGUCACUUUGAAUCAGCCAAAUGCUAUGUGAUGCCAUUGAUUGAAGUCACUAAAUUGUUGAUGGGAAAGUUGCCCUGGGGAGGGAGCAUGCAACUCUACAAUCCAUUCCCAUUGUCUUAAGAGCUCAGAUCCAACAGCUCAAGUCAAACAUGCCAAACUAUGGUUUGUGUCAACCAGUCAACAUGGAUGCUCACAUCAUGGUUUGAGCUUCCAGCUUGUUGUAUAACAGGCAAACCAUGGUUUAGAGCUGUUUCUCUGCUUUGAUUUUCUCUUUGGUCAGCACCAGUCUCACACAUUCACUUCCAUCUCUGUUGUAAAGCAGCUUCCUGAGGUGGAGCAAGAGCCAUAACUGUGAUUAACCACAGUCAGUACAAACUGGUUUACAAACCAGCUUCAAAGCAUGGUUUAAUGUUCUGUUUUGGCUCCAACCAUGAUUUGUGAGCUGAUCGAUAUAGGAUCAGCCAUUAAAACAAAUCAUAUUUUGGUUCUACAAACCACAUCUGCACUGGCUGGUUAGAAGAAACUGGCUUGCAAGGAAAAUGGAAAAUCAAUAAACCUUCCAUUAGUCCAUAUCUCUCAGAUCUAAAUUGUUUAACAAAUAAUACAUGCUUUAUGUCUUUCUCUAUUCCAUAUCACAGUUCUUUAGUGGCAGACAAAUGUCACAUCUCCUCCCGGCUUCAGGGCAUAGGAUGUAUGUGUGCCUUUGAAGCUCAAAUGGUUAAGCCUAGAUUCAAAAACUAAUUCAGCCUUGUAAGUACAAAUCUAACCUUGAGCUCUUGAGUUUUGCUUUUCUCCAGAAGAUUUAUGGCUUUCUGGUGAGACGCCUCCAGUUGUGCUUUAAUAGCUUGACUUUCUUUAAUGGUGUCCUGAAGAUCUUGCAAAAGCUUCUCUCUCUCUUUACUAGAUUGUAGAGUCUGUUCUUUGAGGGCUUCUCUGAAAGCAUUUGCUUGCUGAUCCAAAGUUUGCUUCAGCUGUGUGACCUUCAGCCAUAAUAGAGUUCAACACAGUCAUUAACCAUGUAUUUCAGCUGAUUCAAAAUGCAUGAUAUCUUGUGAUUUUUGACCAUUUUUCUUUGACAAGCUGGACUCAUUUAUUUCUGCUAAACAUUUCAUCACUGGGUCAUUAAAAAGCACAGCACCAACAAGGUCAGAAGCCCGCUUAAGUCAGAGAACCUUAAAGGUGCUUGAAGCCCAUUGAAAUCAAUAGGAGUCAAUCAAUCAAUUAUGUAUUUCAGAUUAUACUCUAUCUGUACUGUUGUUGCUCGUCUUUGACCAAAAUAAAGCUAUUGAUUGAUGUA